GCUCUGUUGGCAGCUAAGCCACCAUCUGAUAGGAAGAAAUGUUUUGCCCCCAAGGUUGCUGCUGCCAUUUGUGGCCCUGCACCUCAAUCCGAGUCCUUCAGAAGUCCUGCUCUCAUCUCUCCAACAAAGGCCUCAACCAUGGGGCCUGCCUCUGCCCCAUCACAACAGCAGGGCAGAACUAAGGGUCCUUGCACAGCUGUCUCAGUA
rnacentral:misc_RNA from 1 species